rnacentral:rRNA from 1 species
CCUACGGGGUGCAGCAGUGGGGAAUAUUGGACAAUGGGCGAAAGCCUGAUCCAGCCAUGCCGCGUGUGUGAAGAAGGCCUUCGGGUUGUAAAGCACUUUCAGUGGGGAAGAAAGCCUUGGGGCUAAUACCCUCGAGGAAGGACAUCACCCACAGAAGAAGCACCGGCUAACUCCGUGCCAGCAGCCGCGGUAAUACGGAGGGUGCGAGCGUUAAUCGGAAUUACUGGGCGUAAAGCGCGCGUAGGCGGUCUGAUAAGCCGGUUGUGAAAGCCCCGGGCUCAACCUGGGAACGGCAUCCGGAACUGUCAGGCUAGAGUGCAGGAGAGGAAGGUAGAAUUCCCGGUGUAGCGGUGAAAUGCGUAGAGAUCGGGAGGAAUACCAGUGGCGAAGGCGGCCUUCUGGACUGACACUGACGCUGAGGUGCGAAAGCGUGGGUAGCAAACAGGAUUAGAUACCCUGGAGUC